rnacentral:lncRNA from 1 species
ACACUGCCAGAUCUGACUGGCCUGGUGCAGCCUUCGGGCUCCCCAGACCCCAGUUGAACCGUCCAACCCAUGCUAGCAUGGAAAACGGACGCUAAAUGAAUGAUGAUGAUGAUCUUGUGUGUCCAGUUGGUUGCAUGACUGCUACUGAUAGAGUUUAGAUAGAGCUCUACAUCGACUAUCUUCAGCCAGUUUGUUCCCAAUACAGUGGAAAAAUUAAGGCAAGAUCUUGCUGAACACAAGUUCAUAUUAUUUGUUCCCUACUCAACAGCGGGAUGCAUGGAUGAUAGACACGUGUUCUGUGGUAUCUCGGGAAAGUCGUCAUACCAAUAAAAUUAACACACAUACACACCGGUUCAAUUCUACUCAUCAACUAUCUGCUUUUUUUUUUUUUUGGUAGCGGGGCCGAAGGACCUUCUCAGUGUCUAUGGAAUAAAUGAGUUAAAUUGGACUAAUGUGUGUGUGUGUGUGUUGACUCUCUCCAGACACAAUAAAAUUUGUUUCAAUAUGUGAAUCCACAUAAAGAAUCUUGUAAACCAGAUAUGAAAGCAAAAUAAACACUUGUGUUUAUCAUGAUUUCUCAUGUGUCUAUACAUGUAUGAAUGUAUGUAUGCAUGAAUAUAUAUAUAUAGAGAGAGAGAGCAAAGAAUAUGUAGUAGCCUUUGCUGGAUUGAGGUGUUGGCUAUCGAAGCAGCUGUAGGCCAGGGCUCUCUGUGAUAGCUUGGUGCAGGGGUGGGGGUGGGGGGCUUCCACAGAUUGAGUGCAAAGUUAUUAGAAAUAAUAAUAGAGCCCUCACAGGACUUGUAGCUGAUAGAGCCCUGCAAAAUCUUAAUCUGGCUCAGAUUGUUUCACACACACAUUGCACAAAAAAAAUUAUAUGACAGACCCCCCCCCCAAAAUGCGCAUAUAUAUAUAUAUAUAUAUAUUAUAUAGAAAUGUCCCUUUCUUCCUCUCCAUCUGUAAACUAUACCAACCUCAACCAUUUUUUCUCUGCCCUCCCCUCAACCAUUUUCUCCCCCGUCUUGUGUGAUCUGAAUAUUUUUUUGUUGUAAUUGUUUUUUCUUUCUUUUUUGUUUGUUUGCCACCACCCCCUUUUUCUUUCUUCCUAAACAGCACUUCUCUCUUUCUAUCUCUCCCCCUCUCUCUAUCUCCCUCCGUCUCUCUCUCUUAUUUUUUUUCUUUCCUUUUUGCGAUGCACUUGUAAAUUAACACGGACUUACAAAAAAAAAAAACAAAAAAGACACUCACACAACAAAGCAAAAUAUUAAUUAUUAUUAUUAAUUACAAUUCAAAAAUUAAAUAUAUAAAAAUAACAAAAUUACAAAUAAGAAACGGGGAAAAAAAAAAUACAAAGACUAAUUUUAAAAAAUUAAUGAUUAAAAAAAACACAAACAAUUUGAAGAUUUUUUUUUUUUUAAUUUACUAUCCCCUCCCCUGAAAGAACAUUUAUGAUUAUUAUUAUUAUUGUUUUUCUCUGACUUGACUCUAUAAUUCUGUUCAUUGUGCGGCUCAUUGUAGAAGUCUGGCGAAAGUUAGUAAACAUUGAUGUGAUAAAUUAUGUGGAAAGAAUUUCAGUAAAUAAUUUCACAACAAAA